rnacentral:ncRNA from 1 species
ACCCUGGUUGAUCCUGCCAGUAGUCAUAUGCUUGUCUCAAAGAUUAAGCCAUGCAAGUCUAAGUACGAGCUCUCGUACAGUGAAACUGCGAAUGGCUCAUUAAAUCAGUUAUGGUUCAUUUGAUCGUACAGUUUACUUGGAUAACUGUGGUAAUUCUAGAGCUAAUACAUGCGAGAAGCGCCGACCUCGCGGGAGGCGUGCUUUUGUCAAACCAAAAACCGGCCGCGUCUUCGGGCGCGUUCGCCUUGGUGACUCUGGAUA